GGAAUUUUGGACAAUGGAGGCAACCCUGAUCCAGCCAUUCCGCGUGAGUGAAGAAGGCCUUCGGGUUGUAAAGCUCUUUCGCAAGGGAAGAAAACUUAUGAUCGAAUAAAUCAUGAGGUUGACGGUACCUUGAUAAGAAGCACCGGCUAACUACGUGCCAGCAGCCGCGGUAAUACGUAGGGUGCGAGCGUUAAUCGGAAUUACUGGGCGUAAAGCGUGCGCAGGCGGUUAUAUAAGUCAGAUGUGAAAUCCCCGGGCUCAACCUGGGAACUGCAUUUGAGACUGUAUAGCUAGAGUACGGUAGAGGGGGAUGGAAUUCCGCGUGUAGCAGUGAAAUGCGUAGAUACCAUCAGGAACACCGAUAGCGAAGGCAUUGUACUGGCCAACAACUGACGCUGAGGCACGAAAGUGUGGGGAUCGAACAGGACUAGAUACCCUGGUAGUCCGCACCGUAAACGGUGGGCACUAGUUGUGGGAACCUUCCACGGUUUCUGCGACGCAGCUAACGCAUUAAGCGCCCCGCCUGGGGAGUACGAUCGCAAGAUUAAAACUCAAAGGAAUUGACGG
rnacentral:rRNA from 1 species